UGUGUGGUCUCUCGUGAUCCAAAGUACAAUCUCCCAUUUUCUACCUCCGAUCCAUUUCUUACCCUGUGUGUCACAAGGUUGUCCAUCUAAUAUCUUCAGACCCUGAAGCGUAAUACCAAGAGUUCACAAUGUCAAAUCGCUAUACUCAUAACAGCCAUUAUCGUGCGUUAAAUUGAGUGAAUGGCCCUGCCUUCGGUCUCAAAUAUUCUCUUAUCCUGAUCCUUGUGGCACAGAAUGUCCUCUUUCAUAUAGCAAAAGGACUGCAUUUUUCGAAGGAUAUGCGGAGAAUAGUAGAGCUUGUAUUUCCUUAUCGUCUUCGCGCGUCGGAACGUGAGUAGGGCAGCAGUGGAAAUACUGGACGUCGAGGAGAAUACCUCCUAGGCGUUUAAUGAGAGGGAAACAAGUGCACGCAGUCAAAUACACGACACGCCUUAUUAAAACGUAAGUAAAUACCUUUUUUUUUCUCAAAAAUCACCACCGAGCCGAGGGGAGCGGUGUUUGCAUUACUUCCCCCGGCCUGGCAUACAUUCUUUGUCAAAACCACUAGCCUAAGGACGAGGCUGCAUUAUUGAGCACCCACGGGGUGUCGUCAUAGUCAUAGGGUCAGCAGCCUGCCUCGACUUCUCGUUAUCUUCUUUCCUCA